ACAAAGUCUGGGCUAUUGAGGGUUUAGAAGCGACAUUUCAGGCAUCGAGGAGGAACAAACCUCGAGAGAGAAAGACGACUUCCUCCUCCGACCUCUCGCUUUUCUCUUUCUUUAUAGCUUUCCAUUGCAAAAUCCAGGAAAAUCUUGAAAAAAACCGACCAAGCUGGUUGUGGGUUUGUGCACGGGAUUGAGGAGCUAGGGUUUUGCUUCGUCGUGUGGAACCGGGAAGAUUUUCCCAGGACUUCUCUGAUAGGAAGUGCUUGUAUUCACCAGCAACCUAAUCAAAAUCGGCGAACCAACAGCAGCCAAAUGGCUUUCCACAGCAGGAAAACAGCAAAAAUCUGCUGUUUACAGCA